AUGUUGUGGAGUCUGCUGGCCGUUCGUCAGAUUGCCCAGAGGACCAUCAGCACCACUUCACGAAGGCAUUGUGAAAACUAAGUUCCAGAGAAACAAAAGCUGUUUCAGGAGGACAAUGGGAUGCCAGUCCAUCUGAUGCCCUCCUCUACAGAGCCACAGUGGCUCUGACAGUUAGUUGGUGGCACAGCCUAUGCCAUCUAUCUGUUAGCUACGGCUGCAUUUCCCAAGAAGCAGAACUGA
rnacentral:lncRNA from 1 species